rnacentral:rRNA from 1 species
GGCGAACGGGUGAGUAACACGUGGGUGAUCUGCCUCGCACUUCGGGAUAAGCCUGGGAAACUGGGUCUAAUACCGGAUAGGACCUUUGGAUGCAUGUCCGAGGGUGGAAAGAUUUAUCGGUGCGAGAUGGGCCCGCGGCCUAUCAGCUUGUUGGUGGGGUAACGGCCCACCAAGGCGACGACGGGUAGCCGACCUGAGAGGGUGACCGGCCACACUGGGACUGAGACACGGCCCAGACUCCUACGGGAGGCAGCAGUGGGGAAUAUUGCACAAUGGGCGAAAGCCUGAUGCAGCGACGCCGCGUGAGGGAUGACGGCCUUCGGGUUGUAAACCUCUUUCGACUCCGACGAAGCGAGAGUGACGGUAGGAGUAGAAGAAGCACCGGCCAACUACGUGCCAGCAGCCGCGGUAAUACGUAGGGUGCGAGCGUUGUCCGGAAUUACUGGGCGUAAAGAGCUUGUAGGCGGUUUGUCGCGUCGUCUGUGAAAACUCACAGCUCAACUGUGAGCUUGCAGGCGAUACGGGCAGACUUGAGUACUUCAGGGGAGACUGGAAUUCCUGGUGUAGCGGUGAAAUGCGCAGAUAUCAGGAGGAACACCGGUGGCGAAGGCGGGUCUCUGGGAAGUAACUGACGCUGAGAAGCGAAAGCGUGGGUAGCGAACAGGAUUAGAUACCCUGGUAGUCCACGCCGUAAACGGUGGGU